CUCUUGGGCUCCAGUGAUCCUCUCUCAGCCUCCAGAGAAGCUGGGACUACAGGCGCACUACACUGCACCCAGCUUUGUACAUAUUUCUUACUGCCAAAAUAUGUCAGUGAGAAGAAAAAUGCUAAGCCUUGCACACAAUCUUUUCUUUUAAAUAUUGGAAGAAUAUGGAUAAAAAGCAGUAUGGAAUAGGAAAAGCAUGAAACCCAACAGCAAGCAACCCACCUUUCCCAACACGGAACGCCUAAGUAAAUACCACUGAGAAAAAGCUGCUGAAUGGGCCAGGAAACAGGGCAGAGGAAGAGAACCAGGAACUGGCUCGCAAAUGCAGGGCCCUUUGUGUUCACCAACUCACAGGUUCAGGGUCAAUGACCAAACGAUGCCAGGCAGGGCCAGGGGAGUUUACAGACAAUGCAACUGUGCAGCACAAAACCAGCAGCAAAACAGGCCUGACAGAUAGAAGAAGAGGCUUCUGCCGCCCUGUGGAAGCCGUCAUCUCAACCACUCUGGGAACAGACUCUGUCAGAGGGAGUGGGCGUUGCUGCCACUGUUUCAGAAGAGGCUAGACAUCCUAGAAUAAGCCAGAAUAUCUGCUAGCUCUUGCUUUAUAAGGGAAGAGAGAUUAUGCAUUGGCAUCUGGGGAAAUCCCUUCCAGUCUGGAAAGGUGAGGAACCCUGCAUGUCUGGUUGACCAGGCAGAGGCUUACCUGGAGGGGCUCCCACCUGCCCGCCUUAGGCAGUCUUCCCCUGGAGAUGCUACCUCAUCUUCCUCCACAGUGUGAGUGAAGGGAAAAGCUCCCUAUACCCUGCACAUUUUCAGGGACCACAAGUGAAGUCACUGUGUCACAACAACUGAGUCUGAUUCAUGGGGCUGUGGGCUGUGCAGGGCCUUAAGAAGAGACCAUGUCUCUCUCACAAGCCCACAACCACACCAAACACCCAGGGCCCGCCUGAGGAGGAUCCUUCCACUUCUUAAGAUGCCUGCGGCAGCAACCUUCCCCUCACCCAGCCCACGGUGGAUGACCCUUACAGUCAGAAAAACUGAGGUCGCAUGCCUCAGAGAGACUCAGCCCCAUCCAGAGUGUGAAAGGAACGAGCCAAUUCCCAUGGCAGCAAAGGGCACAGCCGUCCUUACCAUACACGCCGUGCUCCAGAUGUCCGCAGGGGUGCUGUACCCCGCUCCUAUUAAAACCUCUAUGGAGCGGUACUGACGCGUCUGGAUGUCUUCCGUGAAGUGUUUAUGCUGGAAGGGAACAGGCUGCAUUACCACGGAGCAACACAGACAUUCAAAAAGUGUCUUCGCACACAGAAUCAAGACCAAAGGUUUUAGAAAGAAAACUCUACUUACCACCCAACAAGCAUUUCCCAGGUCAGCAAUUUUUACUCUAAUUUUAUCUGCAUUCCGCGGAUCCAGGGGAUUCACCAACAAGUCAGCUGCCCGGGUUUUUGCUGGCAUGAGCAAACAGCAGGACAGUUAGUGAUCGGGAUAGGUGGUUUGCAUGUGUGAGCACAGUGUUUGCCAGGGUCAGUCUCCUUUCCUCAAGAGUAGUGGAAUGAUCACUUAGGCCUGGAAUACUGUAAAUUAAACUUGACAGAACUAAAAUUGCUUGUUCUCCACCUCUGGAAAAUACUCCAGAAAAGAGCAAACUGGGCUGCCCACAGGACGCCAAGGGCACUGCCUUGACCUUUCUCUUUUUAUCCCCAGUUUCUUCGGGUCCAGGUCAGCCCUAGAACAAGCCAGCCUUGCUGUCCCCCUGUCUGCAGCUUUGUGGCGGCUCUUCAUGGUGUCAAUCCAUCCCUUCACGGCCCAGAUCGAGCUUGCUGAUGCAUUAUUACAAGGAACAUGAAGGUAGAAAGAACACUGCUGUGGGGGCCGAUCACUCUCAGUGACACACAGUUCCUUGGACGCCACAAGACAUCAGGGUCCCUGGCACCGACACCUCACACCCACAUCAUCCCCUACAGUUCCCACUGCUUGGGCUGAGCACACACAGAUCUCAAGGGGUAGAUGACUGUUGAUUAACAAACACAGAUUAAAGGCAGGGACUAAACUAUUCUGGUUUUGUUUUAGACAAGGAAGGUCCCAGACAGAGGUCUCCUGAGAUGGCCUGGGCCAUAAAGGCAACCUCUGAGGUCAGUCAUGAACUUGUCAUGUACAUGAGCAGUCAUUCUAAAUUCCAGGAUGACUCCAGGGAAUCUCAAAGGCAGGUAUAGGGCCAGCUUCCCAGAGAUUCUGGGGCCAGAUCUUCUCAAACAAGUUCAGAUCAUGCCUGUAUCAAGCAGAGUUAACCAAGGGGCAAGUGACAAACAAAAAUAAUCUGGUGAGGCCCAGAAAAAUAGUCCUUAAAGUCAGCAUCUUCAUCACCAAACCUCAGACUGACCUACAAGAUCAGAUUUCUGGUAAAGAUGAAAUAAAACCAGGACUUUUAUUUACUGUAUAAGUAAUUUUGAAAUGGUAUUUAAAAACCAAGCAGAAAAGCCUGUUCAAUGUAGAACAUUAAACACUGAUAUGAUUCGG